rnacentral:lncRNA from 10 species
AAUAAAAGCAGGCUGCGGAGCCAGCAGCGACAAUCGGUUGGGGUGUUUUUCAGGUGUGUGGGUGGUUUAGUUUUUUCGCUGUUUGGGGCCAUAUUGCUUUUAUGAGCUGUGACACUCACCGCGAAAGUCUGCGAAGCUUCAUUCAUGUAAGCCCCCGAGACCACGAACCUGCCGAGAGGAACGAACAAUUGUAGACGCGCCGCCUUAAGAGCUCUAACACUCACCGCGAAGGUCCGCAACUUCACUCCUGAGCCAGCGAGACCAGGAACCCACCAGAAGGAAAAAACUCUGGAACACAUCGGAAUAUCAGAAAGAACAAACUCCAGACACGCCGCCUUUAACAACUGUAACACUCACAGCGAGUGUCUGCACUUCAUUCUUGAAGUUAGUAAGAUCAAGAACCCACCACUUCCGGACACAAAAAGGGAGAGACGUAAGGCAGAAGAAGAUUACAUGUACGAGUUGACAGCAUAAUUCACUGGCAGAAUUCCAAAAAGAUGCUAUCAGUCCAAAAGAAAAUGAUUCUGGGGAGCCAUCUGUUCUCCAGCUGCAGAGAUGUUUCUCUAAAGUGCAAUAAGUAUUGUUGAAACCAUCUUUACUGUAGCGGAAGUCAAUCACAGUCUGGAUUCAGAUGGGAGCUGGUUUAAGCAUUCAGAUGAAGAGAUACUUCGUCAUUUCUACCAGCCGCGUCCUAGCGAGUGCAGCUGCCGCUCCUUACCGGACCCACGAGUGAGGAGCCCCGAGGUCAUCACCGAGCAUGAACGCGGGAACGUCUGGGAAGGAAAUCUGAGGCCCUGCUCUGACGGUCAUAACAAAGGCCUUCGAGCCAACCGGCGUGUUCAAAUUCACCACGGCCCUUCCCGCGCUCCCCUCCCCGGAAACUUGACCACCUAGCCCAGAAAGCCGCAGCAGCUUCCUCAGGGACGCUAUCUCCCAUUUCAAACACCCAACCGAGAAAGCAGCGCCGCAGCGCGCCUUCCGCCACGCCCAGGUCCGCAGGUCUUCGCUCGGGGCGGAAAAGAA